rnacentral:rRNA from 1 species
CAGCCGCCACGGUAAUACAGAGGAUGCAAGCGUUAUCCGGAAUGACUGGGCGUAAAGCGUCUGUAGGUGGCUUUUCAAGUCCGCCGUCAAAUCCCAGGGCUCAACCCUGGACAGGCGGUGGAAACUACCAAGCUGGAGUACGGUAGGGGCAGAGGGAAUUUCCGGUGGAGCGGUGAAAUGCGUUGAGGUCGGGAAGAACACCAACGGCGAAAGCACUCUGCUGGGCCGACACUGACACUGAGAGACGAAAGCUAGGGGAGCAAAUGGGAUUAGAUACCCCUGUAGUCCCUGUCUCUUAUAC